rnacentral:rRNA from 1 species
UACGUAGGGGGCUAGCGUUGUCCGGAUUUAUUGGGCGUAAAGAGCGUGUAGGCGGCCAGGUAGGUCCGGUGUGAAAACUCGAGGCUUAACCUCGAGAUGUCAUCGGAAACCAUCUGGCUAGAGUCCGGAAGAGGAAGGUGGAAUUCCUGGUGUAGCGGUGAAAUGCGCAGAUAUCAGGAAGAACACCAAUGGCGAAAGCAGCUUUCUGGGGCGGUACUGACGCUGAGACGCGAAAGCGUGGGGAGCGAACAGG